AGCAGAAGAGGAGAGGAGGUUGUGUGGGACAAGUUGCUCCCGACAGAAGGAUGUCGCUGCUGAGCCUGCCCUGGCUGGGCCUCAGACAGGUGGCAAUAUCCCCAUGGCUACUCCUGCUGCUGGUUGUGGGCUCCUGGCUACUCACCCGCAUCCUGGCUUGGACCUAUGCCUUCUAUAACAACUGCCGCCGGCUCCAGUGUUUCCCACAGCCCCCAAAACGGAACUGGUUUUGGGGUCACCUGGGCCUGAUCACUCCUACAGAGGAGGGCUUGAAGGACUCGACCCAGAUGUCAGCCACCUAUUCCCAGGGCUUUACGCUGCCAUUGCACUCAAGGAUGAUCUCUCCAUCAGGUUCCUGAAGCCCUGGCUGGGUGAGUACCUGCAGGUGAAAGGGGUUGGGGACAACCUUGCAGGGACGGUAGGGGAAGUGCUGCUCUUGCCCACUGUCCUUGGCUGCCCUGCCAGGGGAUGGGCUCCUGCUGAGUGGCGUUGACAAGUGGAGCCGCCACCGUCGGAUGCUGACACCCGCCUUCCAUUUCAACAUCCUGAAGUCCUAUAUAACGAUCUUCAACAAGAGUGCAAACAUCAUGCUUGUGAG
rnacentral:sRNA from 1 species